rnacentral:rRNA from 1 species
AAUGAACGCUGGCGGCAUGCCUUACACAUGCAAGUCGAACGGCAGCAUGACCUAGCUUGCUAGGUUGAUGGCGAGUGGCGAACGGGUGAGUAAUGCAUCGGAACGUGCCUUUUAGUGGGGGAUAACGUAGCGAAAGUUACGCUAAUACCGCAUAUUCUCUGAGGAGGAAAGCAGGGGACCUUCGGGCCUUGCGCUAGAAGAGCGGCCGAUGUCGGAUUAGCUAGUUGGUGAGGUAAAUGCUCACCAAGGCAACGAUCCGUAGCGGGUCUGAGAGGAUGAUCCGCCACACUGGGACUGAGACACGGCCCAGACUCCUACGGGAGGCAGCAGUGGGGAAUUUUGGACAAUGGGCGCAAGCCUGAUCCAGCCAUGCCGCGUGAGUGAAGAAGGCCUUCGGGUUGUAAAGCUCUUUCGGCUGGGAAGAAAUCGCACUCUCUAAUACAGGGUGUGGAUGACGGUACCAGCAUAAGAAGCACCGGCUAACUACGUG